ACCUAAGCUAAUCAUGGGUUUUCCCUUUGUUGCUAGCCAUGUGCUACUAUUGAUAUUUUCAUCAUAAACAUCAAGGUUACAUUUAUUAUUAGUCCGUGGGUGAAAGCUGAGAAGUACAAACAUGUCACGGUAUUAGUUAAGUUGAAGCGAAAAUUCCAAAACGCAAUGUAAGCAUGUCGGACUGGUAAACUAUAGACGAAUCGAACUCGGUAUACUAGUACUCACAGGCUUAAUAAACCUAGCGACAACCUAUGGAGAAUAACAUGGUAGAAGAGGAACAGGAGGCGUUCAAAAACCCUGAUAAGUCGAAGCUUUUCAUCAGGCAUCUUUGAGGAGUUUUUGGAAACUUUUUGAAAAAGCCCCAAGACGGAGACCUCGCAGAUUCGACCGGUCAAAAUUUUUGAUCUCCCCUGUAUUCAUAAUAGCAAGUUUUUUACUGGGUUGUCCCUAGGUUCAAGUGUGAACUAACAACCUAACGUGCAUACAUAGUUUCAUAUUUUUACAAUACAUUGGUGAACAAAAAAUAAAUACUGGUUGAGCGAGUGCACUUUUAAGAGACGCUAUCUCUGCUAGGAGGCACUUUUAGACUAUAUUUUCAUAAUGCUUCGUAAUUAUUUGGGUUUAGAAUAUGCCACCGUAAAGCGUGGAAGAUUAGAAUGGAUCUCCCUGUACACGUAUGUAUGGUAAACAUUUAUCUACUCAAAGCAUGAUCCAAUUAAUAAAGAUAACGGAUGUUAUGUGAAAAAGGUUCAUCAUUCUUUAUUCAAUAAGGCCGUGCUUGAUUACUCUAAUAAUUCGCAACUAGGAGAAAUACUAUUCCAAAGAGAAAUACUCUCAGAUUAUGUGUGACUUUUUAGGUAUAUAGGGACAGUGCGAUUUUAUAUAAUAACGAAGUUUCCAGUGUAAACAUAGGAGUCACAUUUUGGAGAACCAAAUAUUUUGGCAUUUUCGAAAAUAAAAUCCCAAAAUUCAGAGAAUUCUAGAUGAAAAGAUGUCUUGUUUCAAAUGGUUAAGAUGUACUAUAUGUGGAAGACGAUGUUGAUGUUAUUUCUCACGACAAUUGCAAAUUACUUCCUUGUUCCGAGUUAAACCACAUGAUAAUCACGUGAAAAACACGUGGAACUGUACGUCCGACUCGCUCAUUUCGUCCAUACGACCUAAUGCCAAUAAACGCAGUACAUACUCCAGAGAAAAAAUGUGGCUUCUU
rnacentral:lncRNA from 1 species